rnacentral:lncRNA from 1 species
AAAAAAAUUAUAGGUGAAAUGGUACAAAAAUAAUAUUGUUGCGGAGCCUCAAUCUUCUCUGAAUUCUGAUGUGCGGCAAUGGAUUCAGAAUCAGAAGCACCAUUGCAAACAUACUAAAAGAGCAACUGCACAGGGCACAACUUAAGUUCAAGCUUCAUCUUGACAAACAUAGAUGAGAUCCUUCCGAAACUUUAUGAGUUGGGGAGCAUGUAUUUCUCAAGCUGCAGACAUUUGCAGAUUCUUCCCUUGUGAACAGGCCUGAUCUGAAGUUAGAUUUGAAGUACUUUGGUCCAUUCACAAUCCUAGCUAAGUUUGGCACUAUGUCAUAUCGUUUGGGCUUGCUUGAAGGAGGCUUACUUCACCAUGUGUUCCAUGUAUAGCAUCUUCAUCAUCCAUGUAUAGCAUUACUCGUGUUCCAUGUAUCCCAAGUUCCCAACUGAAGCAGCAUGUGCGAGACCAUACGCCAGUGUUCGCUGCAUUACCUGAACCUCCUGACCAGAGGGCUCUAGGAGUUAUCCCUGAAAAAAUAUUGGAUUCUCGCCCUGUGACGACCCGGUGCAUCGUCUCCGCGCGGUUGCGCAUUUGCAUGCAUCAUCGUCGUGCAGUCGUCCUCUCUUCUCCGGACCAUCAAGUCAUGGAGCAGUGUAGUACAGCACAAAAGAUGCCACGAGAUCGCAUCUCGAGCUCCUCAGUUCACUAUCACUGGCCCCAUCUUUUCUCCCCCCGUUCCCACUCCCUGCCGAUGUCGAAGCUGUCGGUUCGCUCACAACCACCGGCUUCUUCUCGGGCUCACCGAUGGCAUCCAUGAUUAGACCAUUACUGCAGCGACACUUCACCCUGUGAUUCGUUCCAAAGCCCAAAAACUUGCAAAGAAUGGCCUCGGCGGAGCUCGGCAAGAAGCUACGGAUCCUGAUCAUCCCCUUGUUCGUCACCAGCCACAUCGGCCCCCACACCGACCUCGCCGUCCGCCUCGCCGCGGCAAGGCCGGGCACCGUCGAGCCCACGCUGGCGGUCACCCCGGCAAACGUCUCGGUCGUUCGAUCGACGCUCCAGCGGCACGGCGCGUCCGCGGCAACCAGCGCCAUCAAGAUAGCCACCUACCUUUCCCGGAGGUGGAUGGCCUCCCGCUGGGCGUCGAGAACCUCUCUGCCGCCGGGGCCGCCGGGUGGCGCAUCUUCGACGCGGCCAUCGACGAGGCGCUGACGCGGCCCGCGCAGGAGGCGCUUAUCAGGGAGCUGUCCCCUGACGCCGUCCUCACCGACGUCCACUUCUUCCGGAACUCCGUCAUCGCCGGCGACCUGGGCGUGCCGUGCAUUGCGUUCAGCGUCAUCGACACCUUCUCGAACCUUGCCAUGAGCCACCUCGGCGGUAAAGUCGACUGCGACUCCGGUUGCAAGGAGGUGAUCGUACCACGUUUUCCAGGCCCGGAGGUACGGAUCCCGAGGACCAAACUGCCCGAGUUCUUGAGGAUCCAGGAAGAACACGACCGAUUCAACCCGCGGUUGGCGGGAAUACGCAGGUGCUUCGGCACGCCUUCAACACUUUCUUGGACAUGGAGAGGCAAUACCCCGUGUAAACAACAACGAGUUCAGAGCAAUAAACAGAACUAGCAAAUAUGCACGUGCGUUGCAACAGGUGAAAAAUACAUGUCCUAAACCAAAUAUGCAUGGCGACGGGAAUGUGUAUGUUAAGGAGUAACAUGAAGGAGAAUUUUGAUUUCAGCCAACCAUUUUGUACAAAUGGCUAAUAAACUUAUGCAUUGUACAAUUUGCGGGUUUGAUUAAAGAUAGUCAUCUCCAACUGUGAUGAAAAAAUAAACUCAAGCAUAAGAAUAAAAAGACAUACAAAAGAUAACAAAAUUCAAAAUACCAAAACACAAUUUUUUAUCCUCUGCAUAUUUUCAUAUUUCUGCCUUUCUGUGUGCAUUUUUUUUCUUUCGUAUUGGCUCCAUGUUUGAAUAUUUCUUCCUCUCAUGUGUCUUAUUUUGCAACUGGAUUGAAUCUUAAUUGUUUUAUUUUGCCGAUAGGUUUCAUAACGCUGAUUUUGUUUUUUUCUAAGGACUAUGAUAUUUGACACAUGUGUGCCAUAUAAGCAAAACUGUCACACCUUUACUUUUUUCACUUCAAAGUACCACAUGAUCUCCCUUCCUUCGACCCCACUUUCUUCCGAACGACCUGCAGGCUCGCCCGAGAAACCUGCUUCUCCCGUACAUAUCGCGCACCCACCUCGGAGAAAAUUGCCACUUCGUCACGUCUACCACAUGAUAAAAAAAAAUGUGCAUGUGGGAUUCAAACCCACACCUUCUUGGCACCAAAGCGCGCUACCACAACAACCUCACCCUUAGUAUUUGUUGCUCGAACUAAAGAAACUAAUCGUUUUGAUCCCUUUUUUUACAAUUGUGUUACUACAAAAAAAUACAGAAAAUUACCAUGAUUUUCCCUCAGGACAAAGUUACCAUGGUAUUCGCAUGCAAGUUAUCAGGCCUGUGUUGCGUAAGUUACCGUGCUAUUUACAUAGAACUUACCAAGUAAUAUGUUUCAACAACUACACCCCUUUCGAAGUUACCACUGUGUUAUAAGGUCUUCGAUGUGUAAAAUACCAUGGUACUUACACAUAAGUUAUCAGGGUAUAUGUACAUCAACCUCGUCCCUGGUCAAAGUUACCAUGGGGAAUUGUACAUGAGUUACCGGGUCUACAGUUCGUAUAUUAUCAUGGUACUUACACCCAAAAACCUGAGUGUGUUUCGGUAACUUUUUUCAUAGGUCAAAAAUUACCACGAUGUUUUUGCGUAACUUAUCACGCCUAUAGCAGGUCAAAGUGGGCCGUUUUUCUGGGCCAACCCAUGAGCAUGUGUGCCUCCUCAUGACACUAAACAUUAUGUGGCUUUUCUGUGGCACAUCAUUUGUUGUGUUUAUCUAAGAGGCCCCGCGAGGCGAGUGUAUGUUUUUAACAACUUGUUUUCCUUUGGUAAAAAGUUACCAUUAUGUUUAUAUUGUAAGUUAUCAGUUAUGCGGUGCUUAUAUUAUCAUGUUAUUCACACAAAAAUUAUCGGGGAUGUUUUGAACAACUUUUUUCCCGGACAAAAAGUUAUCAUGGUGAUUCUAGUUAACCUAUCAAGCCUGCAAUGCUUAAAAUAUCAUGCUAUUUACACAAAAUUUAUCAGGGGUAUGUUUCNNNNNNNNNNNNNNNNNNNNNNNNNNNNNNNNNNNNNNNNNNNNNNNNNNNNNNNNNNNNNNNNNNNNNNNNNNNNNNNNNNNNNNNNNNNNNNNNNNNNNNNNNNNNNNNNNNNNNNNNNNNNNNNNNNNNNNNNNNNNNNNNNNNNNNNNNNNNNNNNNNNNNNNNNNNNNNNNNNNNNNNNNNNNNNNNNNNNNNNNNNNNNNNNNNNNNNNNNNNNNNNNNNNNNNNNNNNNNNNNNNNNNNNGUGCAUAUGUAUUCAUGCUAUAUAUUUACACAUGAAAAUACCAGAGGAGGGAGGUAUAGUACUGUGCUAUUUACAUAGAAGAUACCGGAGUAUCUUUAAAAAAAUCUUCCCUAUGGUCAAAGUUACCAUGGUGUUUCUAUCUCAGUUAUCAGAUGUGCGCUACGUAUAUUACCAUCUAUUUACACGUAAAUUAUCUGGUUUCUUUUCACAUUUUUCUUCCCCAACGGUUAAAGUUACCACGAUGUUUGUAUCUAAAUUAUCAGGUCUAUGGCGUAAAUGUUAUCGUGCUAUUUACAGAAAUUACCGAGGGCCGGGGUUCAACAAAUUUCUUUCCAAUGAUCAAAGUUACCAUGAUGCUUUCAUCAAAGUUAUCACGCCUUCAAUGCUUAUGACCAUGCUACUUACACAUAAUAUACCGCGUGGUAUACAAAAGUUAUCAUGUUGGUGUGCGUCAUUUAUCGUGGUGGUGAUGGAGAAUUUACCACGGGAAAAGUUUAUGUGCCAGGUUUGAUAGAUGAAACAAAAGCUUUUUAGUGCUAAAAUAUUGAAGGCAAAACAUGUCAAAAACAUUAUUUUUCCUUAGCUUGUUCAACAAUGAGUGUCAUAGGUGAGAUAGAAAGCGCGUGGGGCCGUAACUGAUGAUACCAUUCUCUACCCCUUUUCCUUCCGUGCAUUCUCUCUGUUUCCUUCCUUACUCAGCCCUCCCUCUUGAGGAACGUGAAUCACGUCUGUUUCUCCUUGUUUCCUUAUUUCUGAAAUCAGCCUCUCUUUCUUUAAUUUCUUUAGCCCCUCUCUCUUUCCCUCCUUAUCAUCUCUCUCUUUCUCUCUUAUUUCCAAGAGGACUUCUUAACUCCCAGGGAAGUUAAUGACAUAUAUAAAUUGGGUGGAUCACAUGUAAGGGGGCGAUGUGGUAUUAUUUGACAGGCGAGUUGACCUUUUAACACUGAAUAUAACCUAGUUUGGUUGGUUGUGGCGUUAUGCGCUCAACAGUAGGUUGCGUGUUCGAUUUAGGCUCAAACAUUUUUUGCCUUGGUCUGGCUCGUCAGGAUAAGUGGGCCUGAUUCCUUGGGCCAUCGGACGCAUCAAACGGGAUGGUUAAUUCGGCCUACUCGUGUGGAUGUUGGGUUUAGUCCUUCUCUCGGACCAGAGUAGAUAUCGAGGAAGGAUUUUUUAGACGAAAGCGAAACUGGCGUACAAUGGGUUUUGACACGGACGGACGAAAAUUUUAAGAUGGACGAAAUUAUGAUGAGAAGAAGCAAUAGCCCUUUUAUUAUUACUAGCACAAAAGUCCGUGCGUUGCAACGGGGAAGAAAAUUGAUGCAUUGAUUUGAGAAAAAGGCUAGUUUCGCCAUUCACCAAAAUGCCCAUCAACGCGGCAUACGGGUCAUGCAUGUACGCUUUUAUCAUGUCAUCAUUUCCUUUAAUUAGAGCCAUGCAUGUAUCUUUUUCUCAUUUAAUUUAAUUAGAGCCAAUCACACCAUGCCAAGCCCAUAAAUCCUUCUAAUUAGAGCCAAUACAACAUGGUUGCAUCGUCCAUAUCCCCUUCAUUAUGGAGUUUUCUCUCCUUUUGGUAUGCUGUUUCCUCUCUUUCUUGGUUUUGAAGAUGACUUGCUGAUAUAAGUUGAAUCUACUACAACUCACGUGUGUAUAUAAGUUGGUGAAAUUUGAUCUAAAGGAGCGAGGUAGGACUAAUAUUGAUUGAAUCAGUUCUUUACUGCAAUCCGAUUAUAGGCCGGCUGGCUAUAGCCUUCGUGGCCCAACCCAGAGGUUAGGGGUUUGAUACCCAGUUAAAACAUAUAUUUUUUACCUUUUUUCAUGAAAGUGGCAGGAGCAGGCCCAUCAAAGGAAGGUCGAUGCCCAGCCAGUUGGGCCGUUGCACCUUCCGACUAUGUUCUCCCAUCGCAUGAAAACACGGCCAGAAAUUCACGUGAAUAGUACCACCUCAUUAGAUUAAAAAAAGUCCAAAUAACAAAAUCACGUAGGCGGGACGAAACCAAGAAUACCACCUUGCUUUAUUAGUAGGUAUAGAUAUAGAUAUAGACUAGUACAAAUGCCCGUGCGUUGCACCGGGCGGAAAAAGAGGCACACCAUGCUUCAUGUGAAAAAAAAGUGUGUUCCUCCAAACAUUAUUGAGCAAUAAAUAAAGCGUGUAGUUAGCCUAAAAACCUGCUUCAUGUGUUAAAUAUGGAAAUAUUCUUAUUUUUAAUAAAAGUUAACGUUUACAUAAAAAUCGGGACACUUUUUGAAGAAUAGUUAACAUUUUUAUGAAAUUGGAACAUUUCUUUAAAUAGGAAUUUUUAACAGAUGUUUUUUAAUAAUGUUUUGUCUUUUUGAAAACUAUAUUUUAUUUGUAAUAUUUUUUGCACUAUUUGGGCUUGGCCCAAACAUAAGGACUUGCCUACACAAACACGCACACUUUAAGAAAAAGAAGACAAUGUCGUUGCGAGAAGAACUGCCCACGUUGUCUCUCUUCCCGUUCCCCAUCUCACUAUCCCUAGUAAACAAAUAAUUGACCCUCUUCAUUUAAUUGCCCAUGCGUUGCAACAUGAACGUACCAUAAUUUGCAUGUUUGAAAAGUCACCUGGGAUUCAGUUAUCUUGCAAAUGCAUAAAAAUAUUUUGGUGUUGUUGCUCCAUGUAGUCCCCUUGUCUCUCUUGCGGAAGAAUGAAGAAUGAACUGUGAUAUAAUUUGCAUGUUUGAAAAACUUGACUGAGAUUCAGUCAUCUAGUCUAUAGCAAAUACAUAACUCAAUGUCUCACUAUGAUAUGGAUAAAUCUUAUGGCUCUCUUAAACACAAACAAUGAUAAUUCUCGUGGGAUCUUCUGUCACAUAAAGUGUGAGAAUUGCAAGAGCAGGACAAAUAAUCGUACAUAAAAGAUAAAUUGAGCACUGAGACAUCAAAGUAAAUCAGAGCUAGUCAUGAUUCACCCACCCUUGCUCUGAUGGUUUUAUGCAUUUGCUCACCUCUCAACAAGGCGACAACUAUAACAUUGUACUGCCCCAAGUAGUGUUCCUCUAUGUCUACUCAUGGUUUCAUUCAAGUUUUUUUACGCUAUUAUCCACCAAUGAACAUAGAAAGGGGUCACUAAAGGUAUCUUCAGAUAUAACUUAUCCAGGGCCAUCAGUUAUGGUAUAAGCAUCCAAAGGAAUACUCAGAUAUAACUUAUAUACAACAAAUAGAGCCAACCAGAAGGUGUCUUCAGAUAUAAAGCCAUGUAAAAAAUUGUCACCCUGGAAAAAUAUUGCAUGCUUGAGAGAUCAGGAUGCACGUUUCCAUCUCUGUUUACAAGUUGCGACCAUGUGAGCAUGGUCUAUGUUACAGUAAAAGAAAGAGAAGAAAAACUACACCGAAACAGGUUAGUUUUAAGUCACAUGAUGGGGAAAAGGUGGAUUUACCAUUGGAAAAAAAUAGGUCUUAUUAGCACUAAGACACACAUCAGCAUAAAAGAUAAGGAAUGCCAGAACAUAGCAUCAGUAAGAAAAUAAAAAUGCAUAGAACAGAAGCACCACAAUUUGGGUCGAAACCUGACAUGGGUAAUAGACGAUUACUUUUGCUUCAAAAGAAUACAUCAAAGCUUCCAUUGGUCACUGAAACUUCUCCUGGCAUGAUAUAUGGUCCAGCAGAAAGCUACACUACUGGCAAGUAUAAGCAAAUAAUGUAUAGUUAUAAGCAAAUAAUGUAUAGUUAUAAAAGAUAUGGGUAGUUAACUCUACAAAUAACAACUCAAGAAUAACAUAUAGUUAUAAGUAGGUAGAACAUUGCUCUUCUACAACAAAAGAUUAUGAAAAGUUUAUGAUCCAACUAUUCAAUAGUAGAUAAUGGUACAGUUUUGUGUAAUGGAACAAACACAUUCUAUUUAUUACCCUGAUUUGUUAGUUUAAAGGCAAUUGACAGAGGAAAUUUAAGAUAAACAUGGCCAUUCUGUGUAAGCAAAAUAACACAAACAGUGGCAAGAAAUAGGAUACAGAGAUUACAACAAUGCCAGUACACAAUCUGACUUCACCUACCAAGACUAAUAGUUGUUCUCUUUUAGUGGUAAUCUUCUAUCUGGGAGAGUUACAAAUUUGUUCGUAACAAAGAAAAAAAUGAAUUUUCUGAAUCACUAAUUUUAUGCACCAAGUAUCAUUCAAAUAGGAAUAUGCAGCACUAAGAUUGAAGAUAGUGAACCUGACCGAAGGUUGGAUUAUCCAUAGUUUGGUUGGGGAUAGAGAUACCAAGGAAUUGAUGAUCCCAGUCUCUCUCUGGUUUGGUCCUCAAGGGUGCCCAACAAUGUAUUCUUUUUGGAUGGCUACUGCAUAACGGAAGAAUGAACACAUUUCGAAAUUUACACAAGACCAUACUUGAUUCAGACAUCUGCCCCAUGUGUCUCCAAGCCACAGAAACUUGCUCUCGUCUAUUUAUUCAGUGUCCUACAACAAAAGUUGUUUGGUGUGGUACUGGCAUACUCCAAACUGGCAGGAAAUCAUCAAUUCGAAGCGUUUCAUGACUUUGCUUAUCCUUUGGAACAUUUGGGAUCCUUGAAACUCUCAAGUAUUCAGACAAUACAUGAAGCACAGAAAUAUGGCAUGGGAAGUUGUUUUGAGACAAUACAUGAAGCAGGCCAAGCACUCCCUCUUCAAGUAGCUCAUGGAGCUUGGGGCGGCGAUGACGCACGACAGCGAUCUGGGGCGGUGGCGAGCAACGCAUAACACUAGCGGCGACACGAACAAACGCUUGUCGGCCGGAGAACCGUCGAGCUCAGGGCACAGACGGAUGGCGACGCCGAUCGUGGAGACUCGCGGCUGCUGUUGGGACCAUGCUGGCGGCGGCGGCGGCGCAUCCCAUUCUACAAAUGCUUGUAAAAAAUCUUUGCAACUCCAGAUCAAAAUAAGAUUUUUGCAGACGGACAUCAAUGUUGACUAAAUCGUAAUAAUGUAACAAAAAAUAGCUGAUCAUUAUUUUAUUCUUUCAAGUGGCACCAGGCACUUAAUUCUACUGAAAAAUAUGCACAUACACACUGGCCGCAUGCCCAGAGAAGUUAGCUCCACGCAAACAUUUGCAUAUCAGGUCUUGUCAUCUUGUGCAACUGUAAUGGAGUUUUGACAGAUUGAUUUGAGCAAAAAACAUGGGUCUGCAAGUCUGAACUAAUAAUAACAGCACGGCAAAGAGAAUAUUUAGGCCAACAGAUCAGGCAAUCUGCUACUACAUGCAUGCGUGUGGAAAGAGGGGUGUUGAAGGCAUUAAUCUGAGAAACACAUGUUGGACAACCCCAGAAACUACAGAGAGAAAAGUUAUUUAGUACACGCUAAGAAACACACAUGUUUCUUUGUUGAUCAAUGCAUAUGUUGCACUUGAAUACACCUCCUAAUCCUGGUUUGCUAGGUGCAGCUAGCAUAUCUAUUCUGAAGAGCUACUUGUUAACUGGAAAAAAACAUAAUCGCAGUCAGAGCAAUGGGACAGAAACAAUGACUAAAAUAGGGGAUACCAUCGAGUGAUUAGCUUUCAAGGGGAUGCAUACCUCUCGUGUAGCCGCCACAGGAGACAUUGCACGGCUCGACGGAUGUUCUUGUUCCUCCGGCGAACUCGGCGCUUUUUCCUCCGGCGAACUCGGCGGUGACAUUGGACGUUUGGUCAAAAAUUGUAAUUUCGACGGGAUGAUGGAGAUUAUGGUCCCGAGGCACGACCUAAUGGAGAUUCCGGCCGAGGACCCUUACUAAUAGCAGCCAAUCAAAUCCGGGUCGGGCGCUCCAUCAAUUUGUGUUGGAGAAGGACAGGGCCGGUUUCCAAUUUCCUAUCCAAAUCACAACACAUCAGCAGUAAGUCGGAGGUUGAGACGGAUACGACAAAGGAGUCCGGAGAGGACUGGUGGCGGCGGACGGCCAGUGCUAGCGGCGAAUGGCCGGCGUACCCACAGGAUGCUGUCCCACCUUCCAUCCUCCAUGAACGCCCACGAGCACAGCUGGCGCACCCACAGGAAGUUGACCCCCCUUCCAUCCUCCAUGAACGCCCACAAGCACGCAAGGGUGGACUCCCUUACCCAAGCACGCACCCACGGCAUCCGCCUUCUCCUCCACCGCGGUUGUAGCCGUCCGACGACAAGGGCGCUGCCCGUCACCUGCCCAUGCUCCGCCGUCGCUGGAAAAGGAGGAGUUUGGAUAAGAUGAAUUAGAGAACGGACCGUAUUUCAAACAAACAUAGGGUUUUUUAUGUAAAAAUGAAGCGUUUAGGUCCACGCCGAGGCUGAACCCGCCGCCGUGCCAGAGCAGCCGGCGCGCGUUCGGCUGGAACCGGGUAGGCGGCGGCCCGUGGCCCAUAGCAAAUUUUCUGGCCCAUGUAAUAUAAAGCUGUGAAAACAAAAUUGGACGGACGAAAUUUAGUACCACCUCACGUAUAUGUUUUAAAUUCGAAUUGAAAGCGUAAAUUCACGGGAAGAAGCGUAUUAUGACGGUGAACCCACGGAGUCAAUCCGUGCUUUAUUAUUAAAAAAAAUUAAAAAAAUAGGGAAAGAUUAUAUAUUAUAUACUAGUACAAAUGCCCGUGCGUUGCAACGGGCGUGGAAUCUUACAAAACCUGCUCCAUAUGUCGUUAGGUACAAUUUCCCUUUUUCUUGAGUUGGAAUCGCUGUGAUUUAUUAACCAGUCUCCAUUGAUUCUGAGCGUGAUAACACACGCUGGCAAGACAUGAAACCAUGUUUUAGAAAGCUUAUUCUUAUUGCAACUAAAACAUGGGCAACUUUGUUCUUGAACAACGCACCCAGCAAACCUUGGACUCCAUGAAGUCCUGAAUUUCUUUGUCAUAUACGCACCAUUUCUUAUAUUCAGUUCUAAUAAACGUCGGUACUAGGUUACAUUGUUGCUUCUCGGUUGAAUUUUGGUCGUUCAGAAGCCACCAUGGCAUUCUUCGCCUAAUUGAAGACUUCAUGGAAUAGUGUUUGAUUCAGUUUUCUUUUUUUUUUAUUUCAGAAAACAUGAUUUGUUUAAUAAAAAUAAGUGCUUUAUUAAAAAAUAGUGACUGUUUUUAAAUGGAACAACUUUUGGGAAUUUUGACCAGUUUUUAAAAAGUGUGAAUAUAUAAAACUAUUUUUACUAUGUUGAGUUUUUUUAUAUAUAAGUUUGUUCUUUGGUGGGGAGUCGUUAUUCUUGUAUUUUUCAUUAUUUGGGCUUGGCCCAAAGAAAGCUCUUGACAUGGACAUUUCACGUACACAGAUAACACUUUGGUGAUUCUCAAAAAAAAAACACUUUGGUAUUAAAAAAAGGAGUGUCUAUUACAAUCGACUGAAAUUGAAUUGGCCUUUAAUCAACUACUUGUAGAGGAAACUGCUGAACACAAACAUGCUAUAAUUCAUCAUUCGGCUGCCGUAAAAUCAUCAUCAACUUGCUGUACAAUGAUCAACACAUUAUGAACUAAUCACAUACUAAAUAUUUCAUCGUCAUGAAGCUUUAAAUACAGUUUUUUCGACUGAAAUUUACAGUCAACUCACUAUGAUAAACAGUAACUUUAAAAGUGUAUCGAGCUUUGAUGAAUUUUACAGUGUUCGUUUUACUAUAAUUCCAGUCAGUAACAACCAGAUCACAACAAAGAUACUGGAACUUCCGUAAAAAUAAGGAGAAACAACCAGUAACAAUGUGUGCUUUAUGAUCAGAUAAGAACGAAAAAAAGGAUGGAGGAAGAAGGGGACAUAAUAGCUACACAAUCAGGAAACUACAGUCACACCAAGAAGACAAACUGCAGGUCAAUACUCUCGCAAUCUCCUCCAAAUAGUUCUUCCAGUACAAGAAGAUCAACACCUAAGAGCAUCAUCAAAACAUGUCUAGAACACCAAUAGUUCAGAAAAAUGUAGCACCAUAAAUUAAGGUAACUGUAUACUGUAAAAUCUAUACCAGGUCAUUGUAAAAUACAACAAUCACAACCUUUAUGGUACUGCUGUAAAUUACAGAAGUUGUAGGAUUGUAAAUCUUCGAACAGGGUAGUGUAAAUUCAAGCAGAAGGUCACUGUAAAUUCAAACAAUCAAAAAAAUUAUAGAGCUGUAAAUUAUAGAAGCUACAGGACACUAAAUUCAUCAUCAGGUUAGUCAUCAAUUAACUAUAAUUUACUACGAAAACAAAAACAAGUAGACUUCUUUGAGUACUACAGUACAGUAAAAUCCAUCAUAGCAAUUCAAAAAAUUCUAGUAGCUACAGGGCAGUUAUUCGAUCGUCGUGUAUUGUAAAUUCAUCAUGAAGAAACGGUAAAGUAAACACAAACUUUUAGAAGGCACUCUAAACUGGACAGUAUUACCUGUUAAUCAGAAACAAAACAAAAUAAAUUUCUAAAGGACGAACAAAAUGAACUUCUUCACUGACUUCACUCAACAUACAUAGACAAACAAAUCGGAAAAAUAUAUCACUUCACUUGCAUGACUUCACCCAACAUACAUAGACUAACAAGUCAAAAAAAUAUAGGGGACAAUGAGGUGCUUCACUUGCAUGACUUCACCAACAUACAUGGAAAAACUCUGAACCACAACCCUUAAAUAUGAUUCUUCUACUGCAUGUAGGGGCUUGACUCCACCCAACAUACAAAGAUAGAAGGUCAGCAUGUGCAUCAUUCAAGGCGGCCAAAUAUGGCAAAGGACAUGGAAUUUAUAUACACUGAAGAUGAACCUUC